rnacentral:lncRNA from 1 species
ACCAUUUUAGGUGUACAAUUCAGUAAUGUUAAGUACAUUCACACUGUUGUGGAACACAGCUCCAGAAAUUUUUCAUCUUGCAAAUUUGAAACUCUUUACCCAUUAAACAACAAUUUACCAUUUCCUCCUCCUCCUAGUCCCCGGUAACUACCAUCCUACUUUCUGUUUCUGUAAAUUUUUCUACUUUAGAUACCUCAUAUAAGUCAAAACAUACAAUGUUUAUCUUUUCGUGAUUGACUUAUUUCACUAGCAUAAAGUCUUUAAGGUUCAUCCACAUCACAGUAUCUGAUGAUAUUUCCUUCCAUUUUAAGGCUGAGUAAUAUUCCACUGCACAUAUAUACCAUCUGUUAAUGGACAUUUGGGUUGCUUCCAUCUCUUGGCUAUGGCAAACAGUGCUGAUAUGAAUGUGGGUGUACAAAUAUUUCUUUGAGACCUGGCUUUCAACUUUUUUGGAUAUAUACCCAGAAGUGGGAUUGCUGGAUAAUACAGUAAUUUUAUUUUUAAUUUUGAGAAGAAUCUCCAUACUGUUUUCCAUAGUGGCUGUACCACUUUACAUCCCUGCCAACAGUACCCAAGGGUUCCAGUUUCUCCAUAUGCUCUCCAACACUUGCUAUAUUCUGGUUUUUGAUAGUAGCCAUCCUAGGAGGUAUGAGGUGGUAUCACAUUGUGGUUUUGAUUUGAAUUUUUCUGAUAGUGAGCAUUACAUCUAGAUUCUUCUUUCCUGUUUCUGACCAAACCCUUUCCCUGCUUAGAGGCUACAUACUGAAUAAAGUACAGACCCACUUAAGGAUCUUUAUAACCACGCCAGCUAUUUCAUUUCAUACUAUCUCAUUCCACAAAUCCUCCAUACCAGCCCAAUUAAAUGCUUCAACAUCCUCCAAGUAGGUCCCAUGCUUUCUUUUCCUUCUGCAAAUAUUUACAGCUCAAAUACCACCUCCCCUGAGAGGAGCGCUUUAUUUUCACAGCCAGAAGUCUACCUUCCUUCAGCACUUGGUGCUUGCUCUUACCGUAUGCAUCCUAUUUUCCUCUCCUAUACCACUUACUUCUCAGGUCUCAUCUCACUAUGGAACAGAAAGUUCCUUAAGGCCAUAGACUAAGUCUUGUUCAAUCGUCUAUCCUCUGCAGUGCCUGGAAUACCACAGGCCUUUAAUAAAUAGUUAUUAAAUAAAGUGUUCAACAUUUUAGUGUGUAAUCAGUUGAUUAGACCCAUCAAAAUGCCUGCAAUUUUAAAUCAGCGGCACUUCUGUCUUUUUGUGUGCUGGGAAGGGGGAGGAGUGGGGAAAGAAGGUUUUGGUUUUUGUGCUUUAGUCAUCCAAACUCAUCCUAAUUCCCUUGAACACAUUAUUGAACUUCCAACUUUAAAAAAAAAAAAAAAAAAAAAAAAA